ensembl:lncRNA
CUCCCAGAGCGCCCCCUAAAGGACACCACGAGGGACACGGUCAAAUGUCCUCUCCAGAUCCACAAAACACAUGUGGACUGUGUCAAACUCCCAUGAGCCUCGAGGCCUGAUGGAGAGUAUAGAGCUGGUCCAGUGUUAAACGACCGGGACAAAAACCACACUGCUCCUCCUGAAUCGGAGGUUUGACUAUCGGUCAGAUUCUCCUCUCCAGUCCCUGGAAUAGACUUUACCGGGAAGGAUGAGGAGUGCGACUCCCCUGUAGUUAGAACACACCCUCUGGUCCUUCUUCUUAAACAGAGGGACCCACCAGCCUUGUGCCUCUGUGAUACGCGCCAGCAGCCUCAGUUUUUGUGAGAAGCCUGUUAUCAAUCCUGAUGAAGCUGAUCAAAUGGUUUAGACACGACCCUGGAAUGAGGCUUUACUGUAAUUUAGAACCAAAAAGAUGAAGCUGUGGUGUUUGAAUCUUUGUGAAGCGACACACAAACCUUGCACUUUUCUUCUCCUCUUUGCUCUGGAGCGACACAAAUAAACACUUCCUUAUUUGACAUGUUUCAUAAUCUGUCUGAAGGGGUCAAAGUUUGCUAUGUGGAGUCUAGAGAAAAUGAUAAACGAUCUUUAUCACUCAUUACCAGUCGUGGAAUAUAAGGAAGUACAAUCAAGUGUGUACUUUUUACUUUUGACUUCAUACAUCUGAGGGCAGUAUCUGUACUUUCUACUCCACUACAGUUUUGAACAGGACUGAAAAGUAAAAGUAUUUUUUAUUACGGUGUAAGACCUGUGGAAAAGGCUGAGGGUUCACAAUUUGAACAAAACAAAAAUUAAAAAAUUAAAUAAAAAUAUACAGACAGAAAAAAAUGAUGGAUUCAGUUGUUUCUGUUGAACAAAAUUAAACACAAAUCAGAAUCAAUGAAUUUGAAGCUCAUGAAUUAGACUCAAAAUCUGCACAGAAUACUUUUACUUUUUACUCUUUAAUUCUAUUUUAAUACUUUUAUCGCUAAUGACGCGGCUUAAAUAAUCAUACGGGGGAAAUACGUCGUGUUUGUCUGCGUUCGUGUAAAUAUGUGCUCGUGUUUCAUCCAGGGAUCUGAUGCACUAAAUGAACCUUUACCUGUACCUGCUGCUUUUGACUGAAAUCAUAUGUAAUUGUACUUUAUACUUUUUAAACUUUACUGUUUGACUGUGAACUAUAGCGUGUCGUCCCGUGUCGUAAAAGUGAGAGGAUUUCUGUUUUUUUAUCGGACACUGUGUAAAUUACAAUACUGUUUUGUAUUUGAACAUGUUUUCGUUUUUUGCUAAAGGUAAAUGUUAAUUUUUGUAGCUUGUGACUUAAGAUCAUUGCUAAACGGAUCCUGUACUAGUUUAAAUAUAUUCACUCUCUCUCUCUUCUGAAAGUGAUUUAUCUGAGCCAACUACAACUAAAACUGAGCUGUGUAUUUAAUAGAAACUUGUGAUAUUUAAGUCAGGGGUGUCCAAACUUUAUAAAAACACAGACAAAUCUACGUGUUUUUUAAAGUUAGACUGAACCUUUAGACCUUUAUUCACGCUCACAUCCUCAGAGGGACACAUUAAAUAUUUGAUCUGGGCUUGUUAAAGUAGAUUUUCAGAAAUAUACAGUCAAAAGUACUGUUUACGGUAAUAUGAGACAGUUCACCGGAAGCUCGAGGGCCAAGAAAAGUUGGCCCGAGUGCCGCAUUUAGCCCGUGGGCCGUAGUUUGGGCAUGUCUGAUUUAAGCUGAAUUUCUUCCAGUGCCAAAAGAAGCUGCGUUUCAUUGUAAAACUCCUCUCAGGUUUCUGUUCCUUGUUUUUAUUUUUUAUGCUGCUACCAGUUUAUGUAAUAGUUGCUUAUAUUUGUGAAAUCAACAAUUAUAUGGAAGGAACCUGGGCGGUACUGAGUUUUAAUUUACUUUUUCACAGUUUUUUUUCAAAAUCAGGCACUUGUUUUUGCGU